CCCCACCCCUCCUUAGUGAA
rnacentral:tRNA from 3 species